rnacentral:misc_RNA from 1 species
AAGUCGUAACAAGGUUUCCGUAGGUGAACCUGCGGAAGGAUCAUUAACACGUAUCCAACGUUAAACCCCCCUGUGAAUUUUAUCCUCUAACACCGGUGGAAAUUCGAGCGCUUGUGCAAGUGGCCUGGUUUCCCCAAGCUGCCAGUGUCUGAAAGUGUCGCUGGUUGUGUAAGGAAAACGCUUUACGAUCACUGGAGGCCAACACGGCCGGUGACCGGGCUGCUGUGGCUAUAUGCCCCCUAUAUUUACCCCACUACCUGAACUUGGUUAACGAUGGAUAUCUUGGUUCUC